UACUGGGCGUAAGCGUGCGCAGGCGGUGAUGUAAGACCGAUGUGAAAUCCCCGGGCUCAACCUGGGAACUGCAUUGGUGACUGCAUCGCUUGAGUAUGGCAGAGGGGGGUAGAAUUCCACGUGUAGCAGUGAAAUGCGUAGAGAUGUGGAGGAAUACCGAUGGCGAAGGCAGCCCCCUGGGUCAAUACUGACGCUCAUGCACGAAAGCGUGGGGAGCAAACAGGAUUAGA
rnacentral:rRNA from 1 species